ensembl:lncRNA
GUUGUGCCUACCUCCAGGGGAUCUUCCUGACCCAGGGAUCAAACCUGCGUCUCUUAUCUCUCCUGAAUUGGCAGGCGGAUUCUUCACCACUAGCGCCACCUAGGAAGCCUCAAGUUCCACUAGACCAGCUUCUCAAAUAGUGCUUCAGAUGCCUUAGGAAAAAAUAUCUAUAUGCAAAAAAGAAUCCUUCAGAUGUGAUUUAGAAGAGACUCACUGUGUGAAUGGACAAUUGGAAGCAAGAUUCAGGGAGUUUGGAGCUUCAGAGGAUGAUGUCUGGACAAGGUGUAUUCCUGGCAUGUUACAUCUCUAAGGUAGACCUCCUUUCUCAAGGAGCCGAUUUGAGGGGGUGAGGAGAACUACUCUUCAUUAGAUGAGAGGAGAGAAGCCAGAUGUUUGGAGCUGGAGUUGGCUAUAUGACUCCUACCACCUGCUGCUGCUAAUUUGUUCCUGGGUCGACCAUCUGACCUUCUGCCCACGAAAUGAAACAGUGAAACACUCCUUCUGCCAACAGAGUAUUGCCAGCACGAAACUUAAUGAAUAAAUAAAGACCAGAGAAUACAGAUCCCAAUUGCCCUCCAGACCACAGCCGGUGCUGUCACAGAGGGCUUCGGCAAUCCAAAGGAAUAAAGCUGAACCAAGUAACAAGGGGAUAAGCUGAAGCAAUCUCCAAGAGUGCAUGCUAACGACCUUCUGGAAGUUAUUGUUAUUUGGAAGGCCCUAAGGAAAUUAUAUCUUUAUUGAAGCAGGUGAGGAGCUGGAUGCUGGAGAGGGAGCUGUUCUGUGGUGUCAGUUUCCUCCCCUAGAAUCCAUAAUGCUGAAAAGUGGGACCAUCUGGGACAUCAGUGACUGCAGCCGCCUCCAGUUCUAGACACAUGGCUCCAUCUGAUUCAGUCAAGUUGGAAACAGAAAAUCACCUUGAAGUACAUGUUCCUUGUUCUGCAAAGGAUGCUUGAGUAGGUUCCCUUGGUUAUGUAAAUGUCAGACGAGUAGGCCUCCCACCCCAGGAGAAGGGAGUAACAAGACAUCUUGUGCUUUCAAUAGUUUAGAAAAGGUUGCCUCACAUCUGGUGGGAGGUUGGUACGGAACAGCAGUGGGAAAUAGUGUGGUCAAGUCAGAUGAAAAUUAAUUAAAUGCCCUUUGGAUUCAAUUGCUCACUCCCUGUUUUCAAAAUGCUUGUCUUACCUUGAUUUUUGUGCCCAGACCCUCUUGUUUCUUUCCCCUGCUUCACUGGCUGCUUUUUUCUUUCCUCCUUUGUAAGAUCAUGUUCCUCCACCAUCUGCUGGUCUCCCUCAAGGGUUUGGUCCUGCAAAAGCAUUUUCAAAAAAGUAAAAUCAAGAGUCAAAAAGGAACACAUCAAAGAUUUUAUGUAACCCAUUGAUUAAUGAAGAAACCAGAAGGUGUUAGAUUCAGG